UCCGCAAUGCGUGGCGCAGCACGAUAUUGGCGAAGCUGACACCUUUCAGGCGGGCGGUGCGAAUAUAUUGCUGGGUCAUCACCUCGGUCAUCGAGGCGCGUGUAAUGCGCGCGAUAUAACCCAUCCCGUAAAGUGCGAUUGUCAUGACCGGCAGGGCAAAGUUCCAGAAGGUGAUCUUU
rnacentral:ncRNA from 1 species